UCUCUCUCUCUCUCUCUCUCUCUCUCUCUCUCUCUCUCUCUCUCCUUGCCGACAACCAACCUUUCUUAAGCUAGGGGAGGUGUCCACUGCCGCUCCUCCCCUCUGCCCAUCUUCUCCAUUCCUAUCCUCUCUCCCAUCUUUUUCCAUUCCUCUCAUCUUUUUUCUCCCUCUUUCCACUUUCCUUAGGGCUCUUGCUGGCCCUUAUCUCCCAUUCCUCUUCUCCUCUCUAGAUAUACUUAGAUCUUGGGCUUUUAGCCUUGAUUUAUUUGGAUCUAGGUAUGUUUGUGUGUUUUUUUUGUUUGGCUAUUUUUGCACUGUUCUAGGUGGCUGGUGUUGUCUUCAUCUCGGUGGCUACAUGUAACAUCCCACAUCGACUUACGAAGAGGGGAUGAUGUGACUUAUAUGUACAUGCUCACCUCCAUCUAGCACGAGGCCUUUUGGGAGCUCACUGGCUUCGGAGUCAUGAGAACUUCGAAGUUAAGCGAGUUUGGGCUAGAGUAAUCUCAGGAUGGGUGACCCAUUGGGAAGUUGCUCAUAAGUUCCCAGAAACAAAAAUCGUAAAGGCAGGGGGCCCAAAGCGGACAAUAUCGUGCUACGACCGAGCCGAUCAGGAAUGUGACACUGCAACAGUAGUGACGCUGGAUUGGGUCUCUCUCUUUAGGAGAGUUGGGAUACUUGGUGACUAAUAUUUUGUCUUUGUUUCAACGAUCGCGGCAGCAUCGACGCUGGUUGUAGUUGUUGGCAUGUGGUGGUGUGCCCUCUGAGGGGUUUCGUCUUCUGUUUUAGCAUAUGUUUUGUUGUCAUUUUCCAUUGUUUUGUUGCUCAUUUGCAGCUUGUCUCUACUCUGUGCAGCCCAAAGACCUAUGUUUGGUCAUAUGAGUUCCUUUGUCAUGUUCUAAGUUGAGUUGGAGUGCUUUUAAGAGGCCUCUCUUAUUAUUAUUUCAUGCUCUUCAACUGUGUGCUUUCUUGGGUUUCUGUCAUUUGUGUGUUUUUGUAGUUCGUAGGCAGUUAAAUGACUAUGAGUUUAUCUCAUAAAAGGCUUCUUUUGACAAUUGGGAUGCGAUGCGGUUCUCUUUAUGGGUCUAUUGUGUUAGUGUUUAAUUGAUUUUUUUUUUUCUGUUCUUGUAAUGGUCUUUUGUGGUUCAGGUCUUAGUCCUUGGCAUGUGUAGUACUCUUUCCUAUCCUAGGGUUUGUCUAAAGUGGUUUUCCUAAUAAGGUUUUAAUUAGGCUAUUGUAUUCAUACUAGUCUUUGUAUGCCGUUUUGGCUUAUUAAUGAAAUCUUCUUCUAUAAAAAAAGGUCUAAAAUAUCAAGGGUUUAGGAAAUAUCGGAGGUCCAAAAAUACGGAAAUAUUGGGAAAUUAUCGAUAUCGAGAAAAAUUGAAUAAAAACCACUGAAACUGUAAGAAAAUUUUGAUUCAAACUUUAGAGGUUGUUUAUUUUGUCAAUUAUCUAUUAUUUUGAUUUAUUUAAGUUGAUUAUAUAGCGAGCUAACAAACAAUAUGAGUGCAGAAAAUAUGUAGUAAUUAAUGAAAAAAAUUAAAUGCCCAUAAUCAUUUAUUCAUAAUGAUUUACUAUAAUAUUUUACACUUUAUAUAUUGCAUGGUAAGAUGCACAAGUGACUUAGUACCACAUAGAGUUCCUAUGAGGUUCAAAAUUUUCAUUGUCUUCAUCGUCUCUAUGUGUAGAGUACGUGUACUAUGAAGAGUAGUCAUCAAAUGGUAAAUUCCCAAAAUAGCUUUGCAUGUAAUUGUUAACAUGUCACCCAUAAAGAUCCAAGAUUGGUUGACGUUGCCCAUAAGCAAAAUCAUUUGAAGAUUGGGCAUCAGAUUCUUUUCAUGAGCCGCUUGAUUCUAUCCCAAAAGGCAUGGGAUACGAAGCAUAAGGAAAGAGUUGGUUUUGCAUAUAAUAAAGUCAUUAGCAGUGUGGAGGAUAAGGCAUUGGAGGAAGAAUUGAAGUGGCACGGGUUCGAAUCCCCAUGCUUACACGCGUACAAGCCUUUUCAAUUUUUUUUUUUCUAUUCCAUGUCCAUAUUGCAUUAUUAUCACUAUUAUCACGAUAUUUUGAGCAAAUGUUGAUGUUAAUUGAAGGAUAUUAUUAGUGUCGAAAUUUUCCCAAAAUUUUCACGAUAUUAUCUAUAUAUAUAAAGCAAAAGGCAGAGAAUGGUGAAACAUUCAAAAUACCAGAAAAUGCCCUUGGUUAAUACAAACAUUAAGAAUUGAAAUUAUUAAUUAAAUGAGGAUAAUAUGGUAAAUUCAUAAUUUUUCGUAUUAAAAAAAUUAAAAUUAAAAGAAAAUUCAGAUAAUAGGUCCUAUUUUUAUGGAACACAAAUAUCCAUUAUCUUUUUUAAUUCUAAAAUAAAUUUAAAUUUUUUUUAAAAAAAACCUCUCGCAUGCGCGGAAGCGCGUGUAGAGAGGCUAGUCUAUAUUUAUAUGAUAAGUACACAGAUCUGUUCCAAAAUAUCCCCUUGCCGAAAAACGAUAAUAUCCUCAAUAUUUCAGCGAUAUUAUCGAUAUUUCAGUCCUUGCACACAAUUAAGUUUCUCCUCUACUAUAGCACAAUCUCCAAACAAUAGCACACGCAACUUUGAGAAACUUUUGAAAGCAAUUUUCCAUCAAAAUCCUGAUAUUGAUUUGAUUGCCCUCCACAAGAAAACAUUCUAUGUAAUCAAUUUGACACGUGUGAUCAUAUUGCCCUUAAUAUAUUAGUACUUUUUUUCUUCUUCUGAAAACAAGAAGAGGUUUCAAAUUUAAAUCCCUUUUCCGUUAAUUUUUUUUUAAAAAUGAUGUUGGUGUAGUGCCUAUUAAAGAUGGCUUGGCGGUAAAGUUAGUCUAAUGAGAUUCUAAGAUAUAGAUGGAUUGUUUAGUUCAAGAUUUAGGAGCUUAGUAAUUGGUAUGAAAUUGCAUUCCCAUAUUUGGUAAAUGCAUUUUUUAGAAUGCAAUACCUAACUCAUUAGUAUGAAAUUCUCAUGUAGAGAGAAUUUCAUACCUUUAGUGCUCCUUGGGAAACUCUUCGUCUAUUGACCCUUAAAAUAGGGUCUAGUCUAGUGGAAAAGAGCAUUGACUUGCAGGUCAGUUGUCUCAUGUUUGAAUCUAGAUGGCACUUUGGAUGUGAGAAACCCUUUUGUAGGACUUAGACUAUCAAUAAUAUUAAAAUAAUACUAAUAAUAACUCAAGGGUGUUACUGAAAAACUGAAAAACUGAAAACUGAAAAACUUUUCAUUUAUAAUACUACACGAACCACACAUAGGAAUGCGAGAAAAUGGCUUUUCCUAAUUCUCACUUCCCAGCGUUCCCAAUCAUGGGAAUGAACAUCCGUCAUUCCCAUAUCGUAGGAUUAGACAUGGAAAUUUCAUUCCCAUGAAAUUUGCAAACCAAACGGGACAGAGAGUUGGAACAAUGCAAAGAUUUUGUUUAUCUUUUGGUUGGGCCAAUAAGUUUCUGGGCCUCCAUUUAUUGUAUCUGGGCCGUUAGAUUUCGGCCUCCCUGUUCUGUUUGUAACCCAGCGGAGGUUGGAGCGCUUUUCUUGUUCUUUGGGCUUAGUUAUAUUUCCUUGUUCUUUGGGCUAUUUCUAAAUUAUUUGGGUUGUGCCUUUUUCUGCGUUUGACGUCGUUUAAUGUUUAAUUUGUUUGAUUUUUGAGUUGGAGCUGGUUGGGUCCUUCUCAUUUGAAGGUAGGGUCAGUCUCAAAUGGAAAAUAUUAUUGCUUGAUGUGAAAAAUAAAGAAAUUCGGUUUUGUGGGCUUAUGGCCUAAAUUAAUUGAGGAAUAAUGCCAUUCAAAAGACUGAAUUAACAUGACCCACAUUUUUCCAUCCUGGAAAACUUGUUCCUUAAGCAGAUCAUGGCUACUGAUGAAGUAAAGAAGAAAGGGAUGCUUAAAAAGAGAUAUAUAUAUAUAUAUAUCAAAUGAGCCAAGAAUUAAUGAAAUUUUGUAAAACUGAGAUUACUGAAUUACUUGAAAAAGGAAUAAUCUGUAAGAUUAGUCACCCUGGUCUUGUCCUGCUUUCUAUGUCCAGAAAAAUGCUGAAUUAGAACGCGGAGUCCUAAGAUUAGUCAACCCAAGUGGCUGGUUUAGAUUUUCUGAGUCAAAAGAGUCUUUGAGCACAGCUUCAAGAAAGUCACUCCAGUUGAAUUAUGAGAUUCCUAAAGCCCAUGUCUGUCAAAAUAAAAUCUGUUUUAAGACUUCUUUUGUCUUAGUUAAGAACAUUACUGAUGAAGUCAUCCUAGGUUUAUCCUUUAUUGCCCUUUUAUAUCCUUUCCAGGUAGAACACGAUGGAGUCAUUUCCACCUGUUUAGGAGAAAAGGUUAAGUUUGAAUUCCUUAGUAAACCAGAGUUACAUAAUUUAAAAGAAUUACAAAAGAAUGCAGUCACUAAAACAAUCAGAGUCAUUCAAAAUAAAGAUAAGCAACUAAAAUUCCUCCAGGACGAAGUUAAAUAAAAAAGAAUUGAGCAACAGCUUAGUCAUGAGUCUUUACAGUCACAAAUUCGACAGUUUGAAGAAAAAUUAAAACAAGAAGUUUGUUCUGAGUUGCCCAACGCCUUUUGGCAUAGGAAACAGCAUGUAGUCAGCCUUCCUUAUGUCAAAUCCUUUAGUGAGAAAAAUAUCCCCACUAAAGCCAGACCAAUUCAAAUGAGCCAAAAAUUAAUGGAAUUUUGUAAAACUGAGAUUACUGAAUUACUUGAAAAAGGAAUAAUCCGUAAGAGUAAGUCACCUUGGUCUUGUCCUGCUUUCUAUGUCCAGAAAAAUGCUGAAUUAGAACACAGAGUCCCAAGAUUAGCCAUUAAUUACAAACUGCUUAAUACUGUUUUAGAAUGGAUUAGAUAUCCAAUCCCCAAUAAAAGAGAUUUAAUUAAUCGUUUAGAGAAGUCAGUCAUCUUUUCUAAAUUUGAUAUGAAGAGUGGAUUUUGGCAAAUCCAAAUUUGUGAGUCUGAUAGAUAUAAAACUGCUUUCGUUACCCCAUUUGGUUAUUAUGAGUGGAAUGUUAUGUCAUUUGGUCUUAAAAAUGCACCCAGUGAGUUUCAAAAUAGAAUGAAUGAGAUUUUUAUUCCAUUUAAUCACUUUUCCAUAGUCUAUAUUGAUGAUGUACUUAUAUUUUCUGAGUCAAUAGAACAGCACUGGAAAAAUUUGCAUAAGUUCUUACAAAUAGUCAAACAAAAUGGAUUAGUCGUAUCUGCUAAGAAAAUUAAGUUAUUCCAAACUAAUGUGAGAUUUCUUGGGUUUAAUAUCUGUCAGUCACAGAUUAGCCCCAUAGAUCGAGUUAUCCAAUUUGUUGAUAAAUUUCCUAAUCAAAUCCUAGACAAAAGUCAACUCCAGAGAUUUCUAGGAUCUCUAAAUUAUGUUUCUAAUUUCUAUAAGAAUUUGAGAAAACAAUGUAAGCCUUUAUUUGAUCAUGUAUGGAGACGUCUAAUGAUAAGAGGCAACUGGAAGAUUAGACGGAGCAAUAUCUUGGAAGGGAUCAUGACUGGAUAUUAGGGCAGACUGAAAACUGGGGCGAACCUGGCCGACUGUGGCUCCUAGGUUGGCAAAUCUGUUACUAAUUUGGAUGGGAGAAAAUCCCUGAAAGGGGAGGAUCUGAGCAGGUGACUCUUGUUUGGCUUGACUCAUUGAUGGAGGGAGGACUCGGAGUGACUGGGGUUGACUAGACUGACCAACUUGACUCUUUUGCUUGUCUUUUUCUUUUCUUCUUUAUGCCAUUGUUUUCCCUGCAGGAAUUCUCUAGUAAGAAAAUCAGGGACAAAAUAUAUAUAUGGAGUUUGAGUUGAGGGAUCUCUCAAAUAAGCUUAUUUGAGAGACAACUUGUAGGGUACACUCUUUGUUGUAUUUCACUAAUCCUAACCGUCUAUUUUUUAGAUAUUCAUUCAAAGAUCAUCUCUACAAAAAAUCACUUGAAUCCAAUAUCAUUUGACAAUUCAAUUGAAAUAUUGAAAUUUUAGUAUUUUCUUGAAGCACUGUGUUAAUUAAUUUUGUAUGACACAAUUGAAUAUUGAAAUAGUUUCCGAUUUGUCCAAUUUUUUUUCAAGGAUGAUCUAUAAUUGUAGGCUUAAGAAAUAGAUGGUUUGGAUCGUUGAGGGAUCCCUCAAAUAAUCUUAUUUAAAAGACACCUUUGUAGAGCUCACUCCACAUUGUAUUUCACUAAUCUAAACCGUUUAUUUUUUAGAUAAUCAUUCAAAGAUCACCUCUACAAAAAAUCACUUGAAUCCGAUAUCAUUUGACAAUUCAAUUGAGUUAUUGAAAUUUUAGUACUUUCUUAAACUACCGUGUUCAUUGAUUUUGAAGGACAUAAUUGGAUUUCGGUUUCUAUUUGUCAAAAUAUAUAUAUAUUGAACUACUUUUUGUUGCCAUUGUCUGCUGCUAGAUUCACACACACAUAUAUAUGCUCUUCCAUUGAUGAAGCUGGCAUUAUAUUUAUAGUGAAUUUCGUGAUGUGGAUUAUUGUGUUUGCGGACCAAUCAUUCUCUGUAUGUUGUGAAAGCUUUGUUUAUCAUGGUGGGUUUUGUCAUUUAAAAACAUAUACAAUGUCAACCAACCAAUUUUACAAUAUCAUAAAACACAAGUAAUAGUAUUACUGCAGUUGGAAAUUGAUAUUGCAUACAUAUAUAAAGCAAGAAACAACAUGCUCAAUCAGCCACAAGUGAAGAAACAACUUGCUGAUACAUAACCACAUGACAUGAAAAUUUCAUGCAAAUAACUAGUAAUUAUAAUGGAGUCACACUAGAAGCUGCUGCAAAAUGAGUUGGUGUCCAGAACUCUUAUUUCUAGCAAGCAACUGGCUCUCUCUCAUUUAUUCUAACUCACUAGUUGAGAUGGACAGGUGGAGUUCAGGGCUUCUGGGGUGGAUUGUAGUAUGGGGGAGGCUUCUUCUUAUAUGGAGUUGGAGGAGGAGGAGGUUUCUUCCCUUCUGGCUUUUGUGGGGGUAGAGGAGCCUUGAUUGGAGGAGGGUGUUUAGGGUAACUAGGUGUGAUUGGUUUCACAACAGGAGGUAGAGUUGGUGUCUUAGGAUAAGGUGGUGGAAGUGGCUUGGUCACCGGCGUAGGUGGCGGUGAAUGUACAAUAGGAGGCUGAGUGCUUGGUGGUUUGCCAUAAGGUGAGGAUGGUGGUGGCCUCACCACUCUAGGAGGCAGAGUUGGUGGUUUGGGUUUGGGCACUAUUGGUGGUGAUGGCUUGUUAUAAACUGGGGGUGAUGGCUUCUUGAUGGGAGCUGGGGGCUUGUAAAUAGGAGAAGGAGUUGGUGGUUUGGGUUUGGGCACUAUUGGUGGUGAUGGCUUCUUGAUGGGAGCUGGGGGCUUGUAAAUAGGAGAAGGAGUGGGUGGCUUGGGUUUUUCAUUGUACUCAGCUAGAGAUGAAGUGAUGAGAACCACCAGGCCAAACAAUAGCACAAGCAACUUUGAGUAACUCAUGGUGUUUGUGUUUUUGUGAUGGUAUAAGAUCUAGACGGCAUCGUUUGCUAUUUAUAGUGCUCUCAGGCCUGUGUCGGCAAUACGUGUCAAAAGAUCUUGGUCAUUUUGUUUCAUAGUUAACAGUCAAGGAUUUUCAAAUUCAUGAGAAGAAAAGUACGAUUUUUUUGGCUGAAUAAAAGUUUAGAAGAGGGGAGGCUACACCAUCUUAGAGUUAGGACAUAUCAAAGUUUUCUUGAGGAUUUACAGAGGGGGUUUUAGUCUUUUUUUUUUGUUUUUACAGAUUAUCCCCCAAAAAGAAUUUUCGGCAACAGAACCCGAAUCUAAGUCUUGAUAGCAAAGAGAAUGAUCCUUAUCAACUCAACCAACCCUCGUUGACAGAGAAGUAAGAUUUUCAAUUGGUACGGAUGAUUGUUGAUAUAAGUGUUGUUGAUAGAGAAUCCCAAGUAUAAAUGGUAAAUUCUCUUAAUCAUUUGAGCAACAAAUUCUUUAUAAGUAAUUUGACUGAUUGAUUAUUGAUUGCAAUAAUGGUAAGUGUAAAUAAAAAUUGAGUAGUAUUUAAUGGAAAAUGACAUGACAGUAUUUUACUAGUUGAAAAUAGAACCAAGUUGUCGGUGUAGAUAAAAACAAAUGAUUCAGUCUUCCAAAAUGUGGAGAUUUGAAUUUGUGUUCGUCUAGCAUUAAUCUUUUAAAAAGAUUUUGGAUUUUUAUGUGAAUUUAAGUUAAUUUGAGUCUACAUUAUGCGUUCCAUGGUCUAUAUAAUUUAGACUGGUUUAAUUUUCCACAUUGAAUGACUUUUGUAUGUGGACUUUUCCCCCCAUCUUUCUUUAUUAUUGUCCUCUCCUCCGUUGUCGUUAGUUUUGUCACUUAUCAUCCUUGUGGUGUGAUGAUAAUUGGAAACGAGUGUUUCUAUUCUCGUUUCCCAAGCUAUGUUAUUAAAAUCUAACAUGAUUUGCAAAGGAUUCAUUAGGGUAGUAAUUUGGAGUAUUUAUUUCCUCAGGUAAGUUCUGGGUUCGAGUCGUAGUAUCUGUGUAGUGUGUGAGAGUUUAGCAUGCUAUUGCCCCUCUCAAUAGGAAAGGUCCUAAAAAAAAUCUAACAUGGUUUAUAUUGGUAUCAGGACUCUUCCAAUGGGACUACUGAGGGAACUGAGGCCAAGCCAUUGAUAUGUCAGCUUAGCGUUAAUGAAGAAAUAAAUAUAUUUGCUAACCAAGGUGGUAUGGGACUAGUGUGUAAGUAAAUGCCUUCUUCAUUGGGCUAGACUCUGUUAGCAUUAGGCAUUAAAACUUAAUAUCUCUUCCAACGGUGAAAAAAGAUGUAUCACUGAAUCACUAUAGGUACGGUAUUAUUUCACUUUCAUCUUUUACUAUCUAUUUUCAACGUACUAUAUCACUAUUGGAACAAUGCAAAAUUUCUGGAAUCAAUUAGGGAACAAAGGUGUGAAUAUUAUAUCUCCGUUCCCUUUUGUAAUAAAAUAUGUAUAGAGUUGAGCAAUGGUCACAAAAUUCGUUGCUUUCCAAUAGAUUGCUAUUUCAUUUCUGGUUAAAUCGUCUUGUAGUGGAAAAAACUGAGUCUUCAGCAGCCGCGUUUCUUGAUUUCUCUCAUGGAUUUGGUGAAUUUGAUGGCUGCUUGCGGACCAAUUAGCCGAAGGACAUGUGCUCUCUAUCUAACCCCGUCAUAGUCUGUAUAGCUCUACCUAAAAGGUAAAAAUCAGAGAAAGGAGAGAUCGGACUUGCGACCAAAUAUAUAGUGAGACACAUUACAAGAUUCUUGAAAGAUCUUGAGCCUCUCGAUCUAAAUUGGUUUUGAUUUGGAUGUUCAUAUUUUAUAUUCUAUAUAUAUAUAAUAACGUAAUAUAUUUACUAAUCUUGUUUUUACAGAAAAUUGUUAAGGAUUAUUGCAAAACGAAAGUGUAUUUGUUUAUUUGUUUGGGUUAUUCCCACAAUGUUCAUCCCACCGCCGCGUAUUUUGCUUUCUCUAUAGUGGUUAGGUCCAUUCACGUCAAUAUUAUAUUCAAUCUAAUUUUAGCUUUCAAUUACCAGUGUCCACUCGGUUUUCUUGACGUUUUGAUGUCAUGUAUUGGACCCGAAUAUCGGAUAUCAUCUGUCUCUUCCGCUGAUGAAGGGAUAAAUGCCAUCGAAUCAGAAGAUCUUACUUUUCCAAGGGGGCUUUUCUCUUGUCUCCUCCCAAUCUUCGUCGACUAAGAUCUUACUUUUCUUUUUCUUCUUUUAUAUUUCUACCUUCUUAAUCACUGUACGAAGGGAGAAUUUAUCAAAAAUAGCUAAAAUUUGACUCUUAAUUUCAAAAAUGUUAAUUUUUGUAAAAAUUUCAAUAUAACAGAAAACUCACUUAAAUAGAUACAAAUGUCCUUAAAUUUAAAACUUACAUAAACCUAAAAAAGAAACCUUAUUAAAUAAAACUUUGAAAUAUUUCCUCCAAACACUUUUCCAAUCACCUCUAUUUCUUUUUCUCUUUUUUUUUCCUUCUUCCGUUUGUCUCCAGCAUCACUCCCUCUCUUUUCCUUUUUUUUUUUCUUUCUUCUUCUCUCCACAUAUAUAUAUAUAUAUAUAUAUAUAUAUCUAUCUAUCUAUCUCUCUCUCUCUAUCUCUCUCUCUCUCUCUCUCUCUCUCUCUCUGUGCAUAUCUCUAUUCUUCUUCUCUCCCAUUUUCUCCAAAUAAAAUGUAUGUAUUUAUUUGGCAAAAAAAAAAGUAUUUAGAACCAAAAAUUCAGAAAAUGAUUGAAUCAAUGCACAAGUAUAAUUUCCUCCUCUCACCCAAAAAAAAAUAUUUAUUUCACAUAACUUUAAUUCUUCAAAAACUGUCACAAAUUUAGAGGUAGUCUGUAGAACAAAAAAUUCAAUAAAACGAUCUACAUUAAAAAAAUAUAUAAUUAAAUAUUCAUUCAUUACAAUUCAUAAAGUUAAAGAGAAAAAUAUUACACCAGUCCGUCUAUGAGGUAGGAUGAAGUGCAAUUGAAUUCUUGGAAGUUUGUCAAUAAUGGCCAAUUGAACCACAUCUUGAACACUUACGAGUUGAUGGUUCUUCUCCUCGUGAUGGGAUUCUCUUUUCCUCAAGCCUGCCGUGCCUUCUUCGUGUAAUUGGUGGUAGCACAAUUCUAUCUCGUACAUCAUCAAGCACCACCCAAUCUGUUUGAUCCCCAACUAGCCAUAUAGAUUCUGCAUCCGCAAUUACCAAUGAGUUUGUAGUAUAAUAUUUUGAACACAUUGGGUAGCACGAAAUUUGUCAAUGCGUACAUGCAGCACAAGCAUCUUCUGCUACACAUAUGUCAGAAUCAUCAUAUUACUAGACUCAAUAAUUUUCCAAGCCUAUCAGCACUAACCUUUGAUGCAGGCUCAAAGUGAAUUGACGAUAUUAAAUCAUAGCACUUUGAAUAGGGCUCAAGAGUCCAUUAACAGAAAUGUCGCAACUAUGGACAUUAAGUUAGCAAAACCAGAAUUGAAAUUUUAUAAAUAUAGUAUGAAGAAUAAACGAAGAAACGAAGUAACGAAGAAGAAAUUGAACGAAGAACCAAAGAAGAACAGCACUCUACGUACAAAGAUUCUCAAUCUAAUAGGGUUUUGUUUUUUAGGUUUAUGUUGGUUUUAAAUUUAAGGGUAUUUGUGUCUAUUUAGGUGAGUUUUCUUCUAUAUUUGAAAUUUUUUAUAAAAACUAACAUUUUUGAAAUUAGGGGUCAAGUUUUGGCUAUUUUUGAUAAAUUCUCAUACGAAGGAUUAUCUUUUAGGUGUGAACCUUAAAACACCAUUGGAUGAGAUUUAUGAUUCGUGUAGGAAAAAAAAAUCAAAGGAAGAAUGAGGAGAGCGAUGUUGAAGAAUAUUGAAGUCCCACAUCAGAAACUUAACAAAAUAAUCAAAUACUCCAUAUAAUGAAUGAUUCCACUAUUAAUAAUAUCGAGACUUUUUGUAUAAAAUUUCACAACUGCUAAACAAAUGGUUAAAUUAAAGACAAUAUUGAUAUUAUUAGUAGUGGGUCAUGAGUCCCGAAUAAUUCAAGGGUCAUGAGUCCCGAAUAAUUCAAGGGGAUGGUUUGAAAAAUUCAAUCUAAUUCUGGCUUUCAAUUACUAGUAUCCACUCGUUUUUCCUGAUGUUUUGAUGUCAUGUACUGUUUGAUUUUCAAACUAAUUAUGGGAUGGUUUGAAAAAUCAAACUAAUUAUGGGAUGGUUUGAAAAAUCAAACUUAGAGAAAGCAACCCUUACUGCCUAGAAAAAGAAAAAGGUUAGCCGGCCCUAACUUCUCGUUAAGGAUAAAAAUUUGAACCGGCAAAUCAGUGAACCGGAACCGAAUCUGCAUGAACUGGCUAUAUUUAUAUCUAGUUUUUAAUUUAUUUUUACAGAUGUCUUGUUCUCAUUGUUUUUUUUUUUUGACCUUUCCUAUUGAAAGGGGCGAUAACAUAUUAAACUCACACACACAACACGGAUGUCUUGUUAUCAUUGUUGAUUCUAUACAAUUAGUACAAAGUAAUUUAACAAACAAAGCAAUUUUCUAAAACGGUCCUCCUUUUUUCUCCUUCUAUGGUUUGGUCCUCCUAAUCUAUUCACGGCAAUACUUUGGGCACUGAGGUGAUUGAGCAUAGCCAUUGACAAUAAUACAAUUUAAAGUCUUAAACUCUAUACUUAGCUUAGGGUUAAGUAUUCCAUUAGUGGCAGAAUGUUAAGGCUAAAUAUACGCUAUCUUAAAAAGUCAACCACAAUUAUAUAUGUAACGCACUAUAAAUAUAAAAUGGGGUUAAUGACCUAAAUGGUCUUUCAACUAUUGCUCCAUUAUCAUUUUGGUCCACCAACUAAAAUUUUCAAUUCAAACGUCCUCAAACUUUUUAUUUUGUACCAAGAUGGUCCAUCCGUGACAGAUUCUGUUACUUCUGAUCACGCGAUGGCCACGUGACUGAGUUUUGAAGGGUAUAUGCAACUUUUUGAGAAGCUUUAUCGAAGGGUAUCACUAAAAUGGUCCAUCAACUGUUGCUUCAGUAUCAUUUUGGUCCACCAACUAAAAUUUUCAUUUGAACUGUCCUUCUACUUCUUUUUUUUUUCUUUUUUUUUUGUUAUCAAGAUGGUCCUACUAUCAAAGUCCAUCAAUUUUAUUGUUAUUUAAUUUUGUAUUUAUCUUAUUUUAAAAUUUUUAAUUAAUUUAAACAAUAGAGAAAUAAAUAUUACUUUUUAAGUCCAUGUCAUAAAAUAAAAAAAGCCAUGUUGGUGGUGAGAUUCAAUUUUUUCAAUUUUAAAAUUAGGUACAAGUUCCUAUAAUAGUUUCCUUUAAUUUUAAUUAUUAUUUUCUCUUUUAAAAAAUUUGUUAUUAUAUAUAUGUGAUUUUAAUUAAUUUAAACAAUAGAGAUUUUAUUAUUAAUUGUUAGGUCAGUGUCAUAAAAAAAAAAAAGCCAUGUGGCUAGUGAGAUUCAAAUUUUUAAAAUUUUUUAAGUUUUAUAAUAGUUUCCUUGAUACCAAAAAAAAAAAAAAGAGUUGAAGGAUGGUUCAAAUGAAAAUUUUAGUUGGUGGACUAAAAUGAUACUAGAGCAAUAGUUGGGGGACCAUUGUGAUCAAUAACCCUUUUAGAAGAGGAUACUCACCUAAAAAUACGGUUUUGUCCCUCGAUUUCACGGAAUAAUACACAGACUUUGACAGAUGGACCAUCUUGGUACAAAAUAAAAAGUUUAAGGACGUUUGAAUUGAAAAUUUUAGUUGGUGGACCAAAAUGAUAAUGGGAGCAAUAGUUGGGGGGACCAUUUAGGGUCAUUAACCCAUAUAAAAUCGUUAAGGGUAAUGUUAUACUAGAUCCCGAGUCUAUGCAUUUAGAGUCCACGCAUUUACCCGUAUUUGACUUCAUAUCAACCAUUACAAAGAUCCAACGACUUAAAAUAUGAUAGAUCAUUAUUACAUCAUAAAGUUUUAUUUUUCUAACUGACGUUACUGUUACCAUUUCCUCAAAGCCUUUCUCCCUUGCUUGUUCUCUUCCCUCUCUAAUCUCUCUCAAUUUUUGCUUCUCAUGAAUAUCUACUACCCAGCAUCAUAAAUUGAAUUUCCUAUUUUUAGUACAAUUUCAAUCAAUUCCCCCAUUGCCAAUUGGUUUUGGAGUGUAACCUCAACUUCCUUCACUUAUGUCCUCAGGCUCUCUCCAGUUUGUAUUGUUUGCUUUUUGGGUUUUGUGUAGGUGAAGGAAGUUGAUAAUUGAGUCUGAGAGCGUUUAUGGUGGCGAGAAAGCUUUGUUUCAAUGGAUGUUCUUUUUUUGCAAUGUCUGUUGAUUUGGCUUCCUCGUUUUUAGAGAGACAGAGUUAAUGGAAGGACUAAUGUUAGUUUAGGGAAGAAAAAAAAAACUAAAUUUCAUAACCGACACGUGGUAUAAAAUGUAGAGAUGCCAUAUUAUGUGAUAUAAAAAUGUGGUAAGACUAAUAUUAUUGUAACCGUAAUCAUAUGAUUCAAACUUGAAACCUCAUUCAACUAAGUGAAGACAACUACCCAAAAAAUCAUAAACUAAUUGACAUAAAAACUAUUUAUUAUAAACAAAUUUUGAAUCCAUAUUUUCUGUUAAAUAUAGAUGUAGGACUAGGGUUAAGUAUUAAGUUGGAUGAUAUUUUUGUCUUUUUACUAUAAUUAUUCUCUCUGCUGCUACGGGAUGGGUUAAGGCCUCCCUUGCUGCUGUGAUUAAGGUGGAUAAGGUGCAUUCUUUUAUCUAUUGGAAACCUCCUCGCCCUGCUCAGUUUAAACUUAAUGUUGAUGGGUCUAGAUGCACUUCCUCUGGAUGUAUUGGGGCUGGGGUUGUGAUUCGUGAUGCUUAUGGGGGCGGAUUGGUGGUUUUUCAGUGCACCUUGGCCACAGACAUAUCUUGGAUGCUGAAAUUUGGGGGUUAUAUUUUGGCCUUAAGCUUGCUGUGACUAAGGGUAUAAGCUGCCUUAUUAUUGAAAUGGAUGCUGCUGUGGUUGCCCAACUAGUCAAGAAUAUUGAUGGUCUGGCUCACCACCCCUUUGCUUUACUGAUUAAUGUUUGCUGUGCUCUCAUGCAACAAUUUGCAAAUAGUUGCACUCUCCUUCAUAUUUACAGAGAAGGAAAUUGUGUGGCUGACGGUUUGGCAAAUUGGAGUUACAACUUAGACCUGGGUAUCCUUUAUUUUAAUGAAGCUCCAAAUGUGUCAUAUCUUAAUUCAUUAGAUUAUUAGAACGAUGGGUAAAUGCACACUAUCUAAAUGCAGAGGCUCAGAAUCCGCCUAGUUUAAACUUUUAAGCUAUUUAUAUAUAUAUAUAUAUUUUAUAGAGAUGGACCAAUCAUAUUGAAUUAAAAAAUAACUAUAGUAUUUAUGAUUCCCUAAACUAUGGAGUAUGAUUAGAGUUCAAAUUUGGUAGAGAACUCCUAAAAUAACUUUUAUGUGUUUUUAGCUAAAUUUUAGACACACAAAACUGACCACAUUAGCCGACCACCUUAUGUGGCAGCUGAUGUGGUCAUGCCAUAUUUUUAUCUCACAUUUCCAUACCACAUAAUGUGGCAUGUCCAUAUCAUAUGCCACAUCAAUUAAAUCAAUAGAGUGUAUUUUAAUUAAGACAAUUAGAAAAAAAAAUACUGGAAUAAAUCAUAAAAGAAAAGAAAAUAUUAAAUACUUUUAAUUGAUGUGGUUAUCCACCUCAGCUGCCACAUAAGAUGGUAUAAGGAUGUAGUAUACAAAUAUAGUAAGAGUAGCAUUAUUCUUUCAAUAUAGUAAUCAUCGUUUAGAGAAAGAGUAAGGCUACACUUACUAUAUUUUUAUACCACAAUCCUAUACUAUAUGAUGUGGCAAUCCACAUAAUUAAGCUGACACGUUAAUAAAUUGUGAUAAAAGGUAUUUAAUAUAUUAUUAAUAAUAAUAAUUAAUAUAAUAUAUUAUUAAUUCAACAAACAAUUUAGGGUUAAGUCUUUAUUUAUUUAUUUAGUUCGCAUAAUAGGGUUAAGCCUUUUAUUGAUGUUCUAUUAUGUUCGUCUCUUUCUCUUGCCAGUUUUUUGGUCGGCUUGUUAAUAAAUCACCUACUGUUUUUUUUUUUUUUUAAAAGAAAAAGAUUUCAUUCAUAAGCCAAAACGGCAUACAAAGACUGACAUUAAUUCAUUAGCCUCAUUAAUACCUUCAUAGGAAAACCACUUAGGAUAAACCCCAAGGUAGGAAAGAGUACCACCUAUGUCAAUGACUAACAAGAGAGUUUGACCCAGACCACAAAAGACAGUUACAAGAACAGAAAAAAAAAUCCAACUAAACACCAACAGAGUGGACUCAACUGUCAAAAGAAGCCUUCUAUGAAAAAAACUCUUAGUCCUUUGACUGCCCAUGAACUGCAAAAACACACCAAGGAUAGAAACCCAAGAGAGCAUACGGAGGAAGAGCACAAAAAAAUAACAAGAGAGGCCCUGAAAAGCACCCCAACUCAACUUAGAACCUGACAAAGAAACUUCUAUGACCAAACAUAGGUCUUCGGGCAGCGCAGAGCAGAGACGAGCUGCAAAGGAGCAACAUAACAAUGGAAAAUGACAGCAAAACAGAACACAUCCCAACAACUACCAUCAGUGUCUGUCGCUGCCAUCAAAACAUAGACAAAACAUUAGCCACCAGGUAUCACAACGCUCCCGAAAAAAGAUCAAAUCCAGCGUCACUACUGCUGCCGUCAUCGAGACAGAGACAACACCAGCCACUUACACCACUGCAAAAACAACUAAAUAAAACAAACAGACCUAGAUCCAAACAUAUCAAGGCUAAAAACCCAAGAUCUAAUUAGAUUUGGGAGGAGAAGAGGAAGGGGAUAGAAGGGCCAGCAAGAGCCCCUAGGAAAGUGGGAAGAGAGGGAGAGAGGAGGAAAUGGAGGGAAAAAGAUGGGAAAAGAGGAGAUGAAGGGAGAUGAUGGGCAGUGGCCACCUCCCAUAGCUUAGGAAAGGGUGGUUGUCGGCAAGGAGAAAGAGGGAGGGUUUUGGCUAGGGUUUACUUUGCUAUCUCUUUUGCGUAGCAAUAAAUCACCUACCGUAGGAGUUGCAUAAAAUCCGAUUGCAAAUCCUAGAACUCCCAAAAUCAGAUCGAAUCGUGGCUUAAUUAGCAUCUAUAUGGUCAUAAACAGAUGAAAUCAUGGGUAUUGAAAAAUGAUAAUGAUAUAUCAAAUCUCCUAAAAUCAUCCUUGUCGGUAGAGAAGUUUCAGCGUUGUUCAACAAUUGAAGAUGAGGGUAACACAUUUAAUUCAUUAAUGAUAAGAGCAUUUUAAUACAUAUAACUUGUCUUCCCUAAAAUUACUCUUGCUAGCAUUUUAUUUAGCUUACUUUGCAUUAAUUAUGUUGUUUUUGUCAAUUGGGGUGUUUUGGAAGAUUUCAAUAAAAAAAUAAGGAUAUUUUAGUGCUUAUUAUUCUUGAAUUUGCACAUGGCAGCAACUUUGGGGAGCCAGCAGCUAGAGGAAAUCAUUCAUGUGUGCAGCGAAUGAAAGGCAAUAGGAAUUAAAAAAGAUGGCAAGACUUGCUACACCUUCUGACCAAGGAAGAAAACCCACGUGCGCGAGCAGCCAAAGCCAAAGUAAUGUGUGCAGCAACAAAUGAAAAAGAAAAGGAAAAAGUAUAAAGAAUGAUGUUGGCUGACAAAAGAUAUGAAAUUCAAAUGCCAAUAUGCCUACACGUGAUGAGCAGAGAAAGAUGAAGAAAAGAAAGAGGAAUGGCAGCAGCAAGUUGAAGACCAAUUGGAAGACAUAUGAUGUACAGCAGCCAAAAGAAGAAUGAAAAUGAAAAUAAUGAGAAAGAAUGUUGAGCUGCAGCUUACACGUGAAGAAAGCAAAGGAAAGCAUGGGUAUUUGUGUUCAGCCAAAAGAAGAAGGAAUAAAGCGAUGUUGAUGUAAUAUAACCCACGUUGGUGAUGGGUUAAUGGCAGCUGCAAGAGGAUCUCAUUCCUCUAUAAAUACAGAGCAAUGCAAUGGAAGAGGUGUGCAGAAUUUGGGCACCAAAUAGAGAUAGUGUAGUCCAGUGGAGAAAAGACCCUGGGGAGCAGAGAGGCAAGAAACCAGGGGCAUCUGCCAUUUUAGUUUUUCUUUUUUAAGUUUUCAGCUAGUUUAUAGGGAUAAGGAAAAUGCCAAUAUAAUUGGAGAGAACCUUGGGGAGUCGUGAGGCAACGAUCCAAGGGAUUGAUGAUGCAGUUUCUCCUUCUCUUCCAUGUUUUAGUUUUAUUUCUUCUUUGAGUUUUCAUAUUGUUUUUAUUUUCACUUAUAUCUAGCUAAACUCCUUUAUUAAGGUUGAGGGGGAAACACCAUUAUGAAAUAAAGUUUUAGUUUUUAUUUUUCAAUUCCCAACUAUUAUAUUCUUCAAUGUUUAUAAUUUCACUUCACAUGAUUAAUAAAUUAAUUUUCUUUUCACCACUUCGAUCGUGUAUUUGUGGUAGUUCAGAAUUUAAGUUAAUCUAUUAAUGCAUCCUUGAUUUUGUAUUACUAGUAUACACAUAUCUUCGAUCAUUUGUAGUUAAAUAAUAUUUUUCACAUAGGAUGUUCAGAAUUUGUACUUAUGAAGGGAAGGGGAAUUUAUAUAAGAGAAUUUAUAUAAGAUUCAUUAAAAUGCAUGUUUAAUUGAUAUAUCUUGAGAAAGCAGUAAAUUGAUUCCUAGAUUGCUACUCCAGAGAAUUGUUAGAUAGAUAAUUAGAGUUUUAUAGAAUAAUGGCGUGUAAUCUAAAACCUUAGUUAUUUUUCUCAUUCAUUUAAUCCAUUCUAGUUAUUAUUUGCAUUUUUAAUUUUUAUGCUUUAUUUAAUUUUCUUUUCAACCAACAAAUCAACUUUGAAUCAACUAGGUUAGCGAUUGAAUUAAAUUGGGUUGGAUUAGUUUCCAUCAUUUUCACACAAGUAUUAUAAAUUUAAAACAACACAUUUGGGUGGACAACAAGUUUAAAGUAUUUAUAAAAUAAAGCAACAUUAUUUAUAGAGAACCAAUAUGAGUUCUUUCUCUUUUCUUGGAUUUAGGAGCUCCUAAAAGUCUCUCUAUUUUAGAAGGUGGAUAGGGAGCAUGAUUGAAGUUGUAUUUUUCAUAUUCCUCUUUAAAAUUUGUCUAAAGAUAAGGGGAACAAGAUUUGUUAUCCCCAAUUUUCAUGUCCCAUUGUGUUCCUUUUUUAAAAUUUUAACACCUGUCUAAAUAAUUGACAAAACUUUAACACUGUCAAGUUUUAUUCAAAAACCCUAAUAAAUAUAAACAUCGUAAUAGCUCUUCUUCUUCACUUUUAAUCUUCUCUUCACAGCCAAACAUAUCCAAAUUAUCUCAAGGAAGAACCACCACAUAGCUACCAAUGCGAAUCCCUUGUAACCAACCAAAAUCGUUCAUCUUUCCCAUAUGGGAUGAGAUUCAGAAGGUUCUUCAUAGCUUUGAAGUUGAUGACGGCGGAAGAAGACGUAAGCACCUUUGAAAUUGCAACAAAAGCAUACUGCAGAUUUUUCUUGCUAGAAGAUUUGAAAUUAAUGUUUUGUUUUUUGUUUUUUUUGUUUUUUUUUUCACAAAAGAUGGUAUUUCAUUCAACCGAAUUAUGGAAAUAUAUAGAAAAAGAAAAAUACAUUAAAUGUUCGGUAUUUUUUUGCUCAAUUAGUGAUUUUGAUUAAGAUUGAAAAGUAUUAUUUAGACAGGUGUCAAAAUUUUAGAGAAUAAGGAGCUCGCAUUUUCCUUACUUCAAGGCCCAACCUCACUAUUUCAUCUUUGAUCGACGAGUAAUUAUCUAUAUAUAUAUAAAGCAAAAGGUAGAGAAUGGUGAAACAUUUAAAUUACCAGAAAAUGUCCAUAGUUAAUGCAAAUAUUAAGAAUUGAAAUUAUUAAUUAAAUGAGAAUAAUAUGGUAAAUUCACAUUUUUCAUAUUAAAAAAAUUAAAAUUAAAAGAAAAAUCAGAUAAUGGAUCCUAUUUUUAUGAAACACAACUACCCAUUAUUUUUUUUAAUUCUAAAAUAAAUUUAAAUUUAUUGAAAAAAAACCUCUUGCAGGCGCGGAAGCGCUUGUGGAGAGGCUAGUAUUACAAUUAUUAACAUAAUCUAUACCACGUUCCACUAACUUUAUACCACGUCUUUUAAUUUGAUUUUUUCCUCUACUGAUUCAGUGUUACUGUAUAUUACAUAGACACAGUAUCAUUAAUAAUUUGACAAUAUUGUACCGAUAUUUGAUAUAUCGAUCAAAUGUCAAUAAUGUGGUACAAAAUAUUGUAAAUUGUUACCAAUUGGUACGAGUACACCAAUUUACAACACUUGAUACAAUGUUAUUGAUAUAAUUAACAUUGUACUAUGUCAACAAUAUUGUACAAAGUAUUUGCAUGGCGUAAUGUUAUUUGCUAAAGAUAUUUCAAAGAAGCUAACAAGGGCAUUGCUUUGUAAAUCAGUGAUCUCAAGUUCGAACCUUAUGGCACAUUUGUAGUAUGUGCGUGAGAACAGAACAUUUGUAGUAUAGUUGGUCAUCCAAAUAAAAUGAAACCAUAGUUAGCCCAGAUAACAAAACUAUUGUUAAGCACUAACAAAAAGCACCUCCAAACUCAAAUCUUUUCACAAAAGGCAAAAUGAGAACAAAAUCUACAUCAAAUAUUUCAAAAUCAACUUCUCAAACCAAAACAUAACUACAAAAGUGAAAAAAGAAUCUAAUCUAGAAAACACAUACCUCACCAGAUGAAAAACAGAGCUUUGCGUGAGAAGAAGGAAUAUGAGAGAGAGAGGGUGUCAUCAUAGAUGAAGCAAAUAAGGAAUAGGAGAGAGAGAUGGCAUCGUUAUGUCGUCGAUGGAGCGAAGAAGGAAGAUGAGAGAGAGGGCGUCGUCGUCGAUGAAGUUAAUAAGAAAAAUGAGAGAGAGAGAGAGAGAGAGAGAGAGAGAGAGAGAGAGGCUGAGAUCUGGUUUUAAACAAAAGGGUAAAAUUAUAUUCCACCUUUAUAAUUUAGACAGGUCCAAUGAAUAUGGGCCUCUUAUUUAGGCAUAUCCAAAACAAAAUUUGAUUCAUAGGUAUUAAAACCCAAACAAAAAUUUCUCAAAUCCUAAUUAGUAAAGAUUGUAAUGCCUAAUACCUAAUUUUUCUUAACUUUUAGGAUAAUGCUAUAUGGCACAUUUUUAAUACCAUCUCACCUGGCAGUUGAGGUCGACAUUCAACUCAUUUAAAUUAUAUGUAUAUAUUUUUUAAGAUAUCAGUUUCUUAUAAUUUUCAUUAAUUCAAAAACUUAACCCUGGAGACUUUUCAAUUUCAUGUUAUCUGUUGGCCUCCCUAAAUUCACUCUCUUCCUUUGCCGUCGAUUCGCCACAUCUUCUGUCACAUUCCGGGAUCGGCUCCGCCGUAGCAUGAUAUUGUCCUCUUUGGGCCCCCCUCUCUGCCCUAACGGUUUUGUUUCUGGCCCCAACUCGCUUAACUUCAGAGUUCCCAUGACUUCGAAGCCAGUGAGCUCCCAAAAGGCCUCGUGCUAGAUGAAGGUGGGCAUGUACAUAUAAGGCACAUCACCCCCUCUCCAUUGGUCGAUGUGGGAUGUUAUAAUCCACCCCCCUUAGAGGCCCGAUGUCCUCGUCGGCACACUAGCACCACACAGCAGAGUGACUCUGAUACCAAAUUGUCACAUCCCGGGAUCGACUCCAUCGUAUCACGAUAUCGUCCGCUUUGGGCCCCCCUCUCUGCCCUCACUGUUUUGUUUCUGGGAACUCACGAGCAACUUCCCAGUGGGUCACCCAUCCUGGGAUUGCUUUAGCCCCAACUCGCUUAACUUCGGAGUUCCCAUGAUUCCAAAGCCAGUGAGCUCCCAAAAGGCCUUGUGCUAGAUGGAGGUGGGCAUGUACAUAUAAGGCACAUCACCCCCUCUCCGUUGGUCAAUAUGGGAUGUUACAGCUCCACUCCCUCCACCUUUAAUUUUUUGUUAGUCCACCUUUGAGCUGAUGUCUAUAGUCUAUGGUCAAUGGUCAGUCCCGGCCCUGCCCAGGGGCAGUUAAUGCGACUGCCCAGGGCCCAUUAUUCAAGGGGGCCCCAAAUUUUUUUAAUUAUGAUAAGUGUUAUAUUAUAUUAUUAUAAAUUGAUUUAAUAUUUUUCCAUAAUUUUUAGGAAUAAGAUAUUGAGAUGAAUCUGAAAUUUUGGAACAAAGGAUCCAUGACGAGAGUUUUAAAAGAAAUUCUUUGAUAUUGGCUUGACUUGCAUUCUUGAAAUUCUUUGACUCACUGGUAUGGUAUCCAUAGUUGGACAUUUGUUUUCAUUAUUUAGGAAUAUGGAAGACAUUGCUCAAAGUCUAAAAGUAUUUUCAAAUAAAUACUUUCUCAAAAAACCCAAUGCUUAGUUGAUAAAACAAGAAGUAUACUAGUAUUAGUGAUUAAUGUGUAUAUGGCACACUUUAGAUUUUCGCCUUAGGCCUUUGAAAACUCAGGACCGGCCCUAUCAAUGGUAGGGUCAUAACACUGCUCCUUGCAUCACCAGCUCCGACCACCUCUAUUACCUCUCAUAGAAAGAUGGAUGAUGUUGAUCAUGAUAUGGGUCUUGAUCAAGCAGAUUUGUAGUUGUGAUAACAUGUGUACUGACCAAAAAGCCAAGGAGGAGAAAGCCUUGCAACGGCGAAGAGGCAAUGGAUCGGCUACAUAGGUCUGGCAGAGUGUCGCCGAUGGAGAGGAGAGGAAGUAGGGAGAGAUGGAAUUGGGGGAGGUCGACAAACAACGUGAAAACUAAAGAGUCUCUAAUCCAGUAGGGUUAGUUUUUUUAAUUAAUGAAAAUAAUAAGAAAUUGAUAUGUCAAAAAAAAAAAACUAAUAUAAUUUUAAUGAGACUACUACAAAAAUUGAAAUAGACGACGGUGUCUUUGAAAACCGUUUUUAAUUCGACCACAAUCUUUUGGAAUGUCAAACUACGACGGUGAUUAACCGUCGUCUAUUAUUUGUAAAGACGACAUUUUUACUCAAAACUGUCGUCUAUUAAAGACAACGGUUUGUCUAAUAGAACCGUUGUUUAUUAUAUCGAAAGACGUCGGAUUUACUGUCGUCUAUUAAUUGAAAAGACGACAAUUUCUUUAAAUAUUGUCAUCUAUUAACUCUAAGACGACUGUUAUUAAUUGUAAAACUGACGUAGUAAUUUUAAAUUUUAGCUUCUUUUUUUCUUGUUUCCAAUGGUAUCAGAAAUCUAUACUCAAAUAUGCUAUUACCACACCAGACAUAUAUAUAUAUAUAUACUCAAAAAUUGUUUCUUUCAUAAAUAGUAUAUCAAGAGAACAAUAGAACAAAAUAAAAUCUAAAAAAUGAAAGCACUCUAGGGUCGCUAGUUGCUAGCUGCAAGCUACAAGCCUAAUUACAAUAAUACACAAAAAUUCAUAUACCUAAUUAUCCUUUAAGUCAAGUUCUCCAUGUGUAUAUAGAGCAAUACACUCAUCAUCACCAAUUUUCCUCUGCAUUCUAUCUGAACUUCAUCACUUUGUUCUUGGGUGUGUGAGUUAUCUACCUUCUUGCACAUUUUUUCAUAGGCACAAUAAGACACAAGCUUGUACAAAAAAUUAGUGAUUUUACAGCAAGAAAAUAGUUAGGUCUUCGCUCGAAGUGAAAGCCAAUAAAAACAAAACAUUACACCAAUAAAUAAAUGAGGGCCUAUAUAGCAUAAAACAUGGUUAACAUAACUAAUUUAUUAUUAUUAUUAUUAUUUUGAAAAAGAUGCUUUGUUUAAAAAUAAUAAGCACCACAAAAGUGUACAAAAGAUAGUAUUGAAAUAAUUAAUAUUAUCUAAAAUUUAAGCAUGAGAAAAAAGAAUAAAGGGAAACAACAAGAAAAAAAAAAGAAAAAAAAGAAAGAAGAGAAAGCCUGAACACCCCCCUUAGUUCUGCCCAUCAAAGAAAAGAAAACUAUAUAUUCAUUAUUCAUACCUUGUUUACCGACUACAAUUUCUUUUUGUUGGAUCAUAUGUUUACCGACUAUAUUGUAGACCGCUUUUGUAAUAGUACGAGAUGGUAUCAAAAGUAAGCAUGCAUGCAUAUGUCCUGAUUAUUUUAUGUUGUCCAACAUGUAGCACUGGAUGACGGCAAGAAAUCAUAAACAUUAAAUUAACCUACUCUUGGCAAAAGCUAUAACAGUAUAAACGAAAGUAUAUUUGUAUCAGAUUCUUUUCAGCGUACACAACACAGAUUUUGUGUUCGUCAGUCCACAGCUCUUGCUUGAUUCUAGUGUCUAGUGUGCUGAGUGGAAAGAUGCACAGCUAGUUUAACUUGUUGUCCACCCAAAUGUGUUGUUUUAAAUUUAUAAUACUCGCAAGCAUACAAAUCGACUGUAGAAUAGGCGUGUAUAAGUGUGACAGGAAGUGUGUGAAAAUGAUGGAAAACUAAUCCAACCCAAGUUAAUUCAAUUACUAACCUAGUUGAUUCAAAGUUGAUUUGUUGGUUGAAAAGAAAAUUAAAUAAAGCACAAAAAUUGAAAAUACAAAUAAACUAGAAUAGGGAUUAGAUGAAUGAGAAAAAUAACUAAGGUUUUAGAUUUCACACCAUUAUUUCAUAAAACUCUAAUUAUUUAUCUAACAAUUCCCAUGGAGUAACAAUCUAGAAAUCAUGUUAUUGAUAUAAUUGAAAAUUUUACUCUAUCAAUAAUAUUGUACAAAGUAUUUGCGCGGUGUCAUGUUAUUUGCUAAAGAUAUUUCGAAGAAGCUAAUAAGGGCAUUGCUUUGUAAAUCAGUGAUCUCAAGUUCGAAUCUCAUGGCACAUUUGUAGUAUGUGCGUGAGAAAUCCUGUCUUUCUUGUAAUUUAGACUAUCGCUUAAUUGUAUUUGAAAAACUUAGAUAUUUUGAAGAAAAUAGAACAUAAAUUAAAAGGGGAAGAAAAGCGUAGUUUAUAUAUAAUAACAACACAAAUGACACCGGAUGCUUUACAUGAGAAGAGCACAUUACUACUGCUAUAGUCGAAACCGAUCCGUACAUCACAGUGACAUUACAAGAAAUUAAACACACAUAACACAUCUCUUAUUCUACGUAAUGACAUGAACUUAGCAAGCUAGUCAUUCAUGCAUGCAUGAUCAGAGCUAGUCAUUCAUGCAUGCAUGAUCAGUUUCAGUUGGGAAAUGGAAGUUUGUGAGGUGGCUUGACAGGGCCAGUUGGGGGCUUUAGUUUCCUCGGUGGCUUUGAUGGGUCUCUUCCACCCUCCACCACAUUCUGUUCAAGAUGGCGAUCGUGAUGAGGUGGCUUGUCUCCCUUGCCCUUAGGAGGCUGAUCAACUGGCUUGGGCUCUGGCUUGGGCUCUGGGAAUGGCUUGUGCUCAUCAAGUGGGGUUGGUGGCUUGGGUUUUGUGGGUGGCUUCGGCUUCUUUCCCUGAGGAGGCAAUUUCCCAUCCAAUGGCUCCUCUAGCAAACGAGUUCUGGUUUCUUGUUUGUGAUGAGGCGGUUUCUCACCCUUUGGAGGCUGAUCAACUGGCUUUGGUUCUGGCUUGGGCUCUGGCUUGGGCUCUGGGAAUGGCUUGUGCUCAUCAAGUGGGGUUGGUGGCUUGGGUUUUGUGGGUGGCUCCGGCUUCUUUCCCUGAGGAGGCAAUUUCCCAUCCAAUGGCUCCUCUAGCAAACGAGUUCUGGUUUCUUGUAUGUGAUGAGGCGGCUUCUCACCCUUUGGAGGCUGAUCAACUGGCUUUGGUUCUGGCUUGGGCUCGGGCUUGGGCUCUGGCUUGGGCUCUGGGAAUGGCUUGUGCUCAUCAAGUGGGGUUGGUGGCUUGGGUUUUGUGGGUGGCUUCGGCUUCUUUCCCUGAGGAGGCAAUUUCCCAUCCAAUGGCUCCUCUAGCAAACGAGUUCUGGUUUCUUGUUUGUGAUGAGGCGGCUUCUCACCCUUUGGAGGCUCGUCGUUGCCCGGGUUUCCUUUGUGCUCUGGUGGUGGCUUCUCUCCUUUUCUUGGUGGCUCAUCUCUUGGGUGUCCUGGUUCAUGCUCAGGUGGUGGUUUCUCUCCUUUUCUCGGUGGCUCAUCUCCCGGGUGCUCAGGUGGUGGCUUCUCAUCCUUGUGAGGCUCAUCACCUGGUUUCUCCUUUGGUGGUGGCUUUUGUCCCUUAGGAGGCUCAUUGUUCUCUGGUGGAGGCUUUUUUCCCUUUGGAGGCUCAUUGUUCUCUGGUGGAGGCUUCUUUCCCUUUGGAGGCUGGUCAUUGCGCUCUGGUGGUGGCUUUUGUACCUGGGGAGGCUGGUCAUUGCGCUCUGGAGGUGGCUUUUCUCCCUUGGGAAAUUGGCCCUCCACCUCUAACAAAUGGUGUUCGUUGUGGGGUGGCUUGUCAACUGGUGGAGGCUUGUAAAUUGGGGGUACGGAAAUUGGAGGCUUGUAGAUUUGUGGCUUUGGGUCAUGGUUAUCAGCAAGAGAAGGAGUUGUGGUGGUGAAAGCCACCACUCCAAGAAGAAACACUAGCAAGUAUUUGGAAGACAUCUUUGGGCUCUUAGAA
rnacentral:lncRNA from 1 species